rnacentral:rRNA from 1 species
CCUACGGGGGGCUGCAGUGGGGAAUAUUGGACAAUGGGGGGAACCCUGAUCCAGCCAUGCCGCGUGUGUGAAGAAGGCCCUCGGGUUGUAAAGCACUUUCAGUGAGGAAGAACGCCUGGUGGUUAAUACCCAUCAGGAAAGACAUCACUCACAGAAGAAGCACCGGCUAACUCCGUGCCAGCAGCCGCGGUAAUACGGAGGGUGCGAGCGUUAAUCGGAAUUACUGGGCGUAAAGCGCGCGUAGGUGGCUUGAUAAGCCGGUUGUGAAAGCCCCGGGCUUAACCUGGGAACGGCAUCCGGAACUGUCAAGCUAGAGUGCAGGAGAGGAAGGUAGAAUUCCCGGUGUAGCGGUGAAAUGCGUAGAGAUCGGGAGGAAUACCAGUGGCGAAGGCGGCCUUCUGGACUGACACUGACACUGAGGUGCGAAAGCGUGGGUAGCAAACAGGAUUAGAUACCCCAGUAGUC